GAUCAAGAUGCGCUUUAACUGAGAAGCCCCCAAGGCAGAGGCUGAGAAUCAGAAGACAUUUCAGCAGACAUCUACAAAUCUGAAGGACAAAACAUGGUUCAAGCAUCUGGGCACAGGCGAACAUACAUAUGAUAGUUGAGAAAGACACAUAUUCUGAUCAUGAAGAAAUAAACACAAGUUAAAUAUGACUAAGCAGAAAGAUGGAAGGACCAGGAACGGUGAUGCUAACUUGGAACCACGAUGCAGGCUCUAAACUCCUCUACAAUCAUCCUCCCUUGUGAGAAAAAUACUUGAUCUGAAGGUCCCAGCAAGGAGCCGACUCACAGAAGAAUGCAGUUUUCACAUCAUGAUGAUUUAAUCUUCCUUGACCUGAGCAAUUGACAACCCCAAUUCUCCAGAACCUCACCCGCCACAAUCCCCUUAAAAACCCUGGCCCAGAACCCCUCAAGCAGACAGAUGUGAAGCUUGAGGAUUCCUUCAUCUCUUUGCCCAAUGGCAUUGUGAUUAUUAAACUCUUUUUCUGCUGCAAA